AGAUUGAACGCUGGCGGCAGGCCUAACACAUGCAAGUCGAGCGGUAGAGAGGUGCUUGCAUCUCUUGAGAGCGGCGGACGGGUGAGUAAUGCCUAGGAAUCUGCCUAGUGGUGGGGGAUAACGUUCGGAAACGGACGCUAAUACCGCAUACGUCCUACGGGAGAAAGCGGGGGACCGAAAGGCCUCGCGCGAUUGGAGCGGCCGAUGUCAGAUUAGCUAGUUGGUGGGUAAAGGCCCACCAGGGGCGACGGAUCUGUAGCUGGUCUGAGAGGACGACCAGCCACACUGGAACUGAGACACGGU
rnacentral:rRNA from 1 species